UCACAUCAAGCUACCUGCCUGCCUGCUCGCCCUGCCUGCAACCAAGCUCACAACACCAUCCACAGAUAACAUCUCCUGGUUCACCCCUCCACAGUCAGUCUCACGCAGAAACACAGGAAAGUGGAUG